rnacentral:rRNA from 1 species
GAUGAACGCUGGCGGCGUGCCUAAUACAUGCAAGUCGAGCGAACAGAUAAGGAGCUUGCUCCUUUGACGUUAGCGGCGGACGGGUGAGUAACACGUGGAUAACCUACCUAUAAGACUGGGAUAACUUCGGGAAACCGGAGCUAAUACCGGAUAACAUAUUGAACCGCAUGGUUCAAUGGUGAAAGGCGGCUUUGCUGUCACUUAUAGAUGGAUCCGCGCCGUAUUAGCUAGUUGGUAAGGUAACGGCUUACCAAGGCAACGAUACGUAGCCGACCUGAGAGGGUGAUCGGCCACACUGGAACUGAGACACGGUCCAGACUCCUACGGGAGGCAGCAGUAGGGAAUCUUCCGCAAUGGGCGAAAGCCUGACGGAGCAACGCCGCGUGAGUGAUGAAGGUCUUCGGAUCGUAAAACUCUGUUAUCAGGGAAGAACAAAUGUGUAAGUAACUGUGCACAUCUUGACGGUACCUGAUCAGAAAGCCACGGCUAACUACGUG